CGCUUGAGCCCAGGAAUUUGAGACCAGCUAGGGCAACAUAGUGAGACUCACUACUAAUUUUCUAAAAAAAUUAAAGAUUAGCCAGACCUGGUGGCAUGCACUUGUAGUUCCAGCUACUCAGGAGGCUGAGGCAGGAGCAUAGUUUCAGCCCAGGAGUCUGAAGUUGCAGUGAGCUAUGACUAUGCCACAGUACCCCAGCCUGGGCAAUAGAGCA
rnacentral:lncRNA from 10 species